rnacentral:lncRNA from 1 species
GCUGCUGCUGCCUGGGUUGGCUGGCCUGGCACCCAGAUGCCCACAGGCUUCGCCUCAGGUGUUGUGCAGCUUGUAAUGUUUGUCACCAAUGCCCUGGCCGGGUGGCUCCUGGAGGUCUGUGGCUGAGCUGGCCGGCCUUCCAGAACCAGGGAGAUCAUCGUUAGGGGGCUGUAGUUAUCUGGGGUCUGACAGGCCUGGGUUUUAAGCUCUGUUAGCUAGCUGACUUGGAAGAGGUCACUCAGUUCUUUGAACGUCAGUCUGCCUCUCUGAGAAAUGGGCCAUGUCCUGUUUCCCAAAUGAGGUAAAGGCUGCAGAAAGCAGAAGGAUCAGGCAAGCCUGGUCUACAUAUCGAGUUCUAGGACAGCCAUGACAACAAAGAGAAACCCUGUCACAAAAAAACAAAAACAAA